UACGUAGGCAGCAAGCGUUGUUCGGAGUUACUGGGCGUAAAGAGUGCGUAGGUGGUGCCCUAAGUCUGUUGUGAAAUCUCCCGGCUUAACUGGGAGGGUGCGGUGGAAACUGGGGUGCUUGAGUGUGGGAGAGGUAAGCGGAAUUCCUGGUGUAGCGGUGAAAUGCGUAGAUAUCGAGAGGAACACCUGCGGCGAAGGCGGGUUGCAGGGCCGACACUGACGCUGAUGCGCGAAAGCGUGGGGAGCAAACAGG
rnacentral:rRNA from 1 species